rnacentral:rRNA from 1 species
UACGUAGGGGGCAAGCGUUGUCCGGAAUCAUUGGGCGUAAAGAGCGCGUAGGCGGUCCGGUAAGUCCGCUCUGAAAGUCCGGGGCUCAACCCCGGGAGGCGGGCGGAUACUGUCGGGCUAGAGUCCGGAAGAGGCGAGUGGAAUUCCUGGUGUAGCGGUGAAAUGCGCAGAUAUCAGGAGGAACACCAAUGGCGAAGGCGGCUCGCUGGGACGGUACUGACGCUGAGGCGCGAAAGCGUGGGGAGCAAACAGG